ensembl:lncRNA
CAGGCAAGACUGUAUACUAUUAUAAUUUAGUGAUAUGUUUUUAAGGAAAAAUACCUUUAACUAAUUGAAAAAAUAUCAUGAACAAUUGCAUGAUAUUUUUCCUCUUUAUUGGUCUUAUCAAGUUUAUGGAGAUGUACCUAAACCAGUCUUUCCCAUAAGGCAAAUUUCCACAAGAUUCAUAAAUUUGAUCUUUGAUAUAUGUUUUUGUCUAUUUUAGCAGUUAAGUCAUUGCUCAAUAAUGAAUCUGCAAAGGCAAAUCCAUUGUUUCCCCCUUUCUUAGUUGAGACAAAAAGUACUGUUUCAGCCAGCUGUAUUGAAGUAAUGCUUGAUAACACCAGAAUAUCACUGUAUAUCAAAAGAUGUAUGGCAUCUCAUCAUCAGCUGGUGUCACAGUUCUCCAAUGUGAUGGGGAAAGUCACAGUUCUUUCACACCUUUUAUUUAUUUAUUUAUUUGCAAACCCAACACAGUAACCCAGCUUCCUCUUCAGGAACUCGAGCUGCGUCGAACGCUUUGGAGAACGCGUCUAGCGUGAGCGACUCUGAAUAUCGUGUGAAAUCAGUCCAAUGGAAGAGCGUGACGUCACGGGCGGGGUGACGUAAGCGACCAGGAAGCUAUAAAAGCACAUGCCGCGCAGCUGGCAUCAGCUUCGCGUCUUCAGCAAGCGCUCUGUGUGUGCAUGUCAUUUUGUCUUGUGAGUCUUAUUUACUGUUGUCUGUCCAGUAGAGCUCCAAGCAAUGUCCAAGUGUAAGGCGAAAUCUAAGCAUUCUAAGGGCGAAUCCGGAUCGCGUUUCAGACUGUGUGUCCCUCCCUGCCCGCGCUACAUUACGAGCGGGGAUACACACAGUCUGUGCGUGGUCUGCCUGGGUUCGAAGCACGCCGAGUCGGCUCUCGAGGGGGCCGACUGUCCGCAUUGUGAGAGGAUGUCGGUGCGGCUGCUUCGUUCCCGGAGGGCUCUCUUUGAGGAGGGAGCCUUCGCCAGCGUUCCCCGCGGUGCUGGCCCCGCUUCUGCCGAGGCAGAGCGGCAGCUGCACUCGUGGGGUUCGCAAGUGACAGAGGGAAUGGAGACGGGCGAGUCCCUAUCUCCUUCCACUUCUGCCAGAUCCGGCGCCCAAUCUCUGGAGUCGGAAGCACGCUCUGCGGUUCCUUCCACCCAGGGAGAGGGAUCGACACUCCGCCUCUCUUCCUCCGAGGAGGUCGAUGUGGAGUCUGUCGAUAGGGAUUCGCCACCCCACUCGCCUAGGUAUGAGGAGCUCUUGGAGGUGGUGACUCGUGCGGUGGCCAAGUUGAGUCUUGACUGGCCCGCCGAGAAAACAACCGAACCGCAGAAAAGCAAGCUCGAUGAACGCUUUCUGCGGGCGAGUCAGCCACCUCCUUGCCGGGGCCUUCCAUUCUUUCCCGAUCUACAUGAAGAGAUCGCUAGAUCGUGGAAGAGGCCAUUCUCAGCCCGCCUGUAUAUCCCCUCUUCAGAUUACUACGGCAAUGUAGUGGGGAUUACAGAGCGCGGCUACAGAGCGAUGCCCCGGGUGGAACAGACGCUCGCGAGCUAUCUGUCCCCCGGUACUGCAUCGUCUCUGAAGGCCCCGGCAUUGCCCUCCAAGCCGCUCAGAACAACGUCGGCUCUGGUGGGCAAAGGGUAUGCGGCAGCAGGUCAGGCUGGUGCGUGUCUGCACACCAUGGCGGUGUUACAGGCGUACCAGGCUGACCUGCUGAAGGAGCUUGAUGAGGGAGAGGAGAUCAAGUCCGAUGACAUCACUGAGCUCAGAAGGACCGCUGAUCUCUCCCUCCGCGCCACCAAGGAGACCGCCCGAGCGAUUGGGCGGUCCAUGGCAGCUAUGGUGGCCGCGGAGAGGCAUUUGUGGCUGACCCUGUCUGAAAUGAAAGAGCGGGACAAGGUCUGCCUUAUGGACGCCCCGAUCCAGCCUUCUGGCCUGUUCGGCGACGCAGUCAACACUGUCGUUGACAGGUUUCAGGAGGCUCGCAAACAGGCGGCGGCGUUCCAUAAAUU